AUUGAACGCUGGCGGCAUGCCUUACACAUGCAAGUCGAACGGCAGCACGGGAGCAAUCCUGGUGGCGAGUGGCGAACGGGUGAGUAAUGUAUCGGAACGUGCCCAGUCGUGGGGGAUAACGUAGCGAAAGCUACGCCAAUACCGCAUACGAUCUAUGGAUGAAAGCGGGGGAUCGCAAGACCUCGCGCGAUUGGAGCGGCCGAUAUCAGAUUAGGUAGUUGGUGGGGUAAAGGCUCACCAAGCCGACGAUCUGUAGCUGGUCUGAGAGGACGACCAGCCACACUGGGACUGAGACACGGCCCAGACUCCUACGGGAGGCAGCAGUAGGGAAUUUUGGACAAUGGGCGCAAGCCUGAUCCAGCAAUGCCGCGUGCAGGAUGAAGGCCUUCGGGUUGUAAACUGCUUUUGUACGGAACGAAACGGCGAGCUCUAAUACAGUUUGCUAAUGACGGUACCGUAAGAAUAAGCACCGGCUAACUACGUGCCAGCCGCCGCCGUAA
rnacentral:rRNA from 1 species